rnacentral:sRNA from 1 species
ACUGUUGCUCCGGUUGCCUAAGUUGUUUUAUUAUUUCUGGAGAGAGCCGUGAGCUUGUCUAGGGGCCCCAAUCCUGAGGCCGACCCGGUUUCUGGCGCGGUGCGAUGGAGGUAGUGGAGGCCGCCGUCGCUCAGCUGGAAACUCUGAAAUUCAAUGGCACCGACUUUGGAGUUGGGGAAGGUCCGGCGGCUCCGUCUCCGGGCUCUGCCCCUGCGCCAGGGACACAGCCGCCGCUACAGUCGUUUGAGGGGUCCCCGGACGCUGGGCAGACCGUGGAGGUUAAGCCUGCCGUGGAGCAGCCUCUGCAGCCCGUUCUGAACGCUGUCGCGGCCGGGACCCCAGCGCCGCAGCCACAGCCGCCAACUGAAUCGCCGGCCUGCGGAGACUGCGUCAUCUCUCCAGGAGCCGCAGAGCCUGCGCGGCCGCCGGACUCCUUGGAGACCUCUGACUCGGAUUCCGACUCGGACAGUGAAACAGAUUCAGAUAGUUCAAGCUCAUCGUCUUCCUCUUCAUCUUCCUCAUCGUCUUCUUCUUCCUCUUGUAUAUCACUUCCUCCAGUGCUGUCAGAUGGAGAUGAUGAUUUACAAGUUGAAAAGGAAAAUAAGAAUUUUCCUCUUAAAACAAAAGAUGAAUUACUUCUUAAUGAACUGCCUUCUGUUGAAGAACUCACUAUUAUUCUGCCUGAAGAUAUUGAGUUAAAGCCUCUUGGAAUGGUUUCAAGUAUUAUUGAACAACUAGUAAUAAUUGAAUCUAUGACUAACCUACCUCCAGUUAAUGAGGAGACUGUAAUUUUUAAAAGUGAUCGACAAGCAGCAGGAAAGAUAUUUGAGAUAUUUGGACCUGUUGCACAUCCAUUUUAUGUGUUACGGUUUAAUUCUUCAGAUCACAUUGAGAGUAAAGGUAUUAAAAUAAAGGAGACUAUGUAUUUUGCUCCAUCAAUGAAAGAUUUCACUCAGUAUAUAUUCACAGAAAAACUUAAACAGGAUAAGGGAUCAGAUGCAUCAUGGAAGAAUGAUCAGGAACCACCACCAGAGACAUGGGGGUCUCAGUGUGUUGCCCAGGCUGGUCUCAAGUUCUUGGCCUCAAGUGAUUCUCCAGCCCUCAAGCAGUCUUCUGCCUUGGCUCCCCAAAGUGCUAGGAUUACAGGCAUGAGCCCCUUGCCCAGCCAGUAUUACAGAUUUUUGAUACUUACAGAUUUAACCUUGGUCAUUUUAGAUGUUUAAAGCAAUCGUAAAUCAUGAUCUGUGUUUCUAAUUUUACUGAGGUAUGAAUCAGGUUUAUGCCCACUUAGAGGGUUCUAUACAGGUAUGAAUCACUUAACCAGUGAAUGAUCCUUGCUUAGUAUCUGAAUUGAAAUGUAUUUCUAUUUAAUUUUCUAAUUAAUGUUAUGUAUUUAUGUGAUUUCAGUUAAGGCUCUGAAUAUUCACUUAGUGUUCUGAAUUAAGUUUAGAGUAUCUAUAGCAUCUUAUUACUGGAAUUACAUGUUUUAAAAGUGUUUAGAGAUUCAUAAACAUCUCAAAUCAUAUUUCUUAUAAAAUCCAGAUGUUCUUUUUUUCUUUUUUUGGGUGGGGGAUGGAGUUUUGCUCUUUCUGCCCAGGCUGCAAUGCAGUGGCGCACAGUCUCAGCUCACCGCAAACUCUGCCUCUGGGUUCAAGCGAUUCUCCUGCCUCAGCCUCCUGAGUAGCUGAGAUUACAGGCACAUGCCACCACGCCCAGCUAAUUUUGUAUUUUUAUUAGAGACGGGGUUUCACAUUGUUGUCCAGGCUAGUCUUGAACUCCUGACCUCCAGUAAUCCACCCCUCUCUGCCUCUCAAAGUGCUGAGAUUUCAGGCGUGAGCCACCACACCAGGCCAAAAUCCAGAUAUUCUAAUGAAUCCCUGUUGUUUCGGACCUAAGCAUUGAAGUUACCAAUUACAACAAUGUGAGUUAUUUGUAAAAUUGGUUUGACUAGGUUAAUUGCAAAAUUACAUCUCACCUAGUUCAUGGUGUUUGUUUUUUCCAGGUAGCUUGAACUGGAUCAUUAAGUAUCUUGGGAUUUAAUUUUGUAAUAUUUGUUGAUGAAACUUUGUAGUCUAGAAUUAUUGCCUGGUAUUGAUCAUAGACUAAAAUUAGAAAUUUGUGAGGUUUAAACUUAAAAAGAGAAAAAAGGGAAACAUCGCGUGAUGUGAAAAUAGAAAGCUUACAUAAAGGAAAAUAAGAGAAAUUAUGUGCUAUGAAAUGUUGGGCUGCAUAAAGGACCUAAAAAUUACCUACGGUUGUAUCAUAGUCAUCUUCAUAGCCAUUUUUAAUAUGCCACCGUAUACUUUAUGGUUGAAUAAAUGUAUUUGAUGAAUGG